rnacentral:snRNA from 10 species
AUACUCACUCUGGCAGCACCUAUACUAAAACUGGAAUGAUAAGCACGGCCCCUGCAUGCAAAUGACAUGUAAAUUCAUGAAGCAUUCCAUUUUUUU